GACAGAGGCCUCAAGCGUUAGGCGGAAUCACUGGGCUUAAAGCGUGUGUAGGCGGAUCGUUAAGUGUCUUGUGAAAUCCCACGGCUCACCCGUGGAACUGCUGGGCAUACUGGGCGUCUUGGGCCAACUAGGGGCAGCCGGAACAAGCGGUGGAGCGGUGAAAUGCGUAGAUAUCGCUUGGAACGCCGAAGGUGAAAACAGGCUGCUGGGGUUGUGCCGACGCUGGAGACACGAAAGCCAGGGGAGCAAACGGG
rnacentral:rRNA from 1 species